rnacentral:rRNA from 1 species
CCCUUAGACGUUCUGGGCCGCACGCGCGCUACACUGACCAGUGCAACAAGCAUCCGUCCUUGGCCGACAGGCUCGGGCAAUCUUUGAACGCUGGUCGUGAUGGGGAUAGACUUUUGCAAUUUUUGGUCUUCAACGAGGAAUUCCUAGUAAACGCAAGUCAUCAACUUGCAUUGAUUACGUCCCUGCCCUUUGUACACACCGCCCGUCGCACCUACCGAUUGAAUGGUCCGGUGAAGCCUCCGGAUUGGCGCGCACCUCGGUGCCGCCGAGAAGUUGGCUAAACCUUACCAUUUAGAGGAAGGUGAAGUCGCAACA